ensembl:lncRNA
CCUCUAUUACAAAGCUGAACGCCUCUUUCUUCCGCAAGUCAGACUAAAAUAACAUAAGGCAGUCACAUUUUUUGUUCUACUACUCACCCCUACGAAGAAGAGCAGCUGGAGUGAUGAAUCAAUCUAUCAGGGAUUUGCCCUCAGCUUUCACGAUUUGAGUCCAAAAGAACACCGUGGGGAUGUGGUGAAACAGGAGAUUCACAUCACUGAUGUGCAAGCCCACAAAUCUGCUUCAACUGUGUGAUGCCAUGGACCCAAAUCUCUGAGGAAUGUUUCCAGCAGCUUGCUGAAUCUAUGACACAAAGAAUUACGGCAGUUCUUAAGGCAAAACCAGGUCCCUGUUGGUACUAGCAAGGUGCACAUGAUCACGCUGACCUGCAGAUGUCAGGGAUUUUUCUGAUAUACUAUAAUGC